rnacentral:misc_RNA from 1 species
GAUGAAGAACGUAGCGAAAUGCGAUAAGUAAUGUGAAUUGCAGAAUUCAGUGAAUCAUCGAAUCUUUGAACGCACAUUGCGCCCGCUAGUAUUCUGGCGGGCAUGCCUGUCCGAGCGUCAUUUCAACCCUCAAGCCCCCGGGCUUGGUGUUGGGGAUCGGCGAGCCUCCGCGCCCGCCGUCCCCUAAAUCUAGUGGCGGUCUCGCUGUAGCUUCCUCUGCGUAGCAGCACACCUCGCACUGGGAAACAGCGCGGCCACGCCGUUAAACCCCCAACUUCUGAACGUUUGACCUCGGAUCAAGUAGGAAUACCCGCUGAACUUAAGCAUAUCAAUAAGCGGAGGA